UACGGACUCGUGCAGAAUCCUUGGACUGCAGUCUUUCCAUGACUUCUUGCUGAGCACGUGGCAGCCAGUUUCUAAGACAUCCAAUGUGAGGUAGAACAGGGAGCCCAUGUCCUCCUAUAUGUGCUCCCGAGCAUCAUGCACUCGCGAGAGACUCAACACAUAGCCAUCCUUUUGGUCUGUGUUGAUGUUCUGCAUGGUGAAGCCUGCAACUGCCAGCACGUCAGAGUCGUUACAGUUCCGGGGACGCAGAAGAUAGGAGCGGGGAGGCUUCGGGAGAGGUGGUGCAGGAACAGAACGAGCCUCGCAGCAUGCAGCCAGGGCGCAGAACACCACAAGUCGGAGCAGAGCCAUUCUGUGGGGAACCAAGGUCCAGGAUGGGGUCGGUGUGUAGAGAUGACAGGAUGGGCCUCCUUGUGGGGCUUCAAGAUGGACUUGA